CCAUGACUAAAUGCAAAGCCUGCACAUGCAGGCAUCCAUACAGCACCUUCCUGCUCAUAGGCGCUCUACCCGGAACGUUUACACAACAGCGCCCUGAGGAGGCGACAGACCAGAAGGUGAAACAAGCAUGAACUCCGCUUUCAGCUACACUAACAUCAACUCUGACGUCUGGGGCACAAACCGUCGAGGAAACAAAGGGGAAACCCUGAGUCAGGGCUGGCACCACACUCCUGCACACUGGCCCCAGGGAUGCACCUCCAGGGCGGGGGCGGAGCUGACCCGCCGAGUCCCGCCCCCGCCCACGCCCUCUAACUGUCCCUUCGCUGCGCCUUUCCAGUCAGGAAGCCGUACGAGGAGAGCGUCACGUCGGACGCCAGCUGGCUGCCUUCCUCAGCGGCCCACGCUGCGCCAUGCUGCCCCUCCGAAGCGUCCUGGCCCGGGCUCUGACCUCGCGAACGCCCGCGCUUCAGGUAUCGGCCUCCGGGUGGGCGCGCCCUUUGCCAGGCGCAGGGCUGGGAGGGCGUGAGCCCUGCGCAUGCGUGCCGCGCGGUCAGCUCUGUCGGCUGAGGGUCCGCGCCCGUGGAGGAGGGGUCCUUGCGGGGCAGGGUCGUUUACCCACCGGAGCGAGGCUUUCUCUGGCUUGGGAGCCUGACCGCUCCGAGGUCGCUCCCGAAGCGCUAGCGGUUGCGGCUUUGCCGCCAGCACUUUGGCAGCUGUGGCUCCGGGAGCGCUCGCCGCUUCGUGGCGGGGCCCAGGCGCCAUUGGCCUCGCGUAGGUGUGGGUUUGAAGAGCCUUCGCUCCGUCCACACUGAAGGUGCUGGAAGAGGACCACCAACAAGGAGUGGCGACCCGACCGGCCUUUUCCUUUGUAACGAAGUGCACAGCUUGCGAGCAUUUUGCCGAGAACCUUGGUGUAGGCCAGGGUCCCAGUGUGGGGCAUCGUGCCCGCCCUCCCCGUGUCCUGCGGUGAUCCCCAAGCCCAGCAGGGACCUGAGCCUGAAGACCCUCAAACGUGACCUGCUUCAGCCUUAGAUGAGAAAGAUCCAAAAUGGAGCCAGGGAUCAAGCCUGAACUGUGGGCACCUGCUUGUUCCGAUUCAUCCUAGGGAGUCUCUCCUUUCCAUCUUGAGGCUUUUACUCCUUUCUCAGCCAGCAAGAUGCUGGCUGUGGGCUUAGCCGCUUCUGGAGACAGACUUUCAGGAGAAGAGUAAGGAAGAGCCAUUAAUGGCCUUUCACCCCGUGUCUUCUUUGAUAAUGAGAGCAACUAAGAACAAAGCAGGGAGGAAGAGCAGGAAGAAAAGAUUAACAUUAAACAGAUACAUGAGGUGGGAGGGAAAGGGAGAGAAAAGGGAAAUUGCAUGGUAAUGGAGGGAGAUCCUCAUUGUUAUACAAAAUUACAUAUAAGAGGUUGUGAGGGGAAUGGGAAAAUAAACAAGGAGAGAAAUGAAUUACAGUAGAUGGGGUAGAGAGAGAAGAUGGGAGGGGAGGGGAGGGGAAAUAGUAGAGGAUAGGAAAGGUAGCAGAAUACAACAGUUACUAAUAGGGCAUUAUGUAAAAAUGUAGAUGUGUAACCAAUGUGAUUCUGCAAUCUGUAUUUGGGGUAAAAUUGGGAGUUCAAAACCCACCUGAAUCAAAUGUAUGAAAUAUGAUAUGUAAAGAGCUUUGUAAUGUUUUGAACAACCAAUAAAAAAAAUAUAAAAUUAAAUUAAAAAAAACAAUGCAGUCUAUUCUGCUCUCUCUAGUGGGGCAGGGCCAAGAAUUAUUUCUUUGCGACUUUUCUUUUUUACAUUUCUAGCAGCAUUCUCGUAUAAGUGAAUUCUUAGUAAUUGCUCACAAGAAUUAAUCCUAACUUGGUGAUAAGGGAAGGUCAAAUGGUGAAGAUUUCUGCCCCAGCAUAUUUCUAACUAGCUUUGCAACAAAAACCUACAAAAUCUCUUCACUUCCUCACACAUACACCCGUCUUUAUCACUACGGUGUCCCUUCUGUGUAUCGUCUCAUUGAAAAAUAAUACAAAUGCCCAUUAGUCUACAGCUGAUAUAUCUUACUUGUAAUUUUUAGAUUGUACAUAUUAGGUUAUUGUUUAUUCUACUAACAUUAUUAUAAUCUGGUUAAAAUGCACAAAAAAAGAAUAUCUACCUGUGGCAGAGACUGCUGCGGUUGUUUUUGAUAGAAAGCUUUGUCCUUUGGGCAAUAGGAAAAUAACUUAAGAGUUAUGACAGUCAUGAGUGGAAUAAACUCAAUUGAAAUGAUUAUAUUAAGUCUAUACUCAACAAUAUAAGAAUAUAUAAGAACAAAGCCUCCUGUUUCUCUAAACAUGCAAGGUGGUCAGUGUAAGCACUAAUUUGUCCAUAGUUUUGUAGGGACCAAGUCUUCUUUAACAGAUUUUUCUGGUAUAAUUACUUUGGAAAUAGGCACCUACACCUACUAAUCACACUUCAUGAGUUUGUAAAGUGGAAUGCUAUAUAAGUAUCUGUAUGUGUGCAUUUUUAAUAUACACAUAUACGUACACAGAUGAUAAUUCUGGCAAGUUAUGAUAAUUCUGCCUAGUAAAAAUUAAGUUCACUCAGAAAUAGAUUUAGAAAUUUAUAUAGUGAGCAUAUAAACAUUUUAACAAGUUAAUGGUUCUUAAAAAAAUAAUUCCCAUCAAACCAAUAUAACUGGAUGCAUUAAAUGCACUUUACAUUGCAUCUGUCUUAAGAACCUAAUGAUGAUUCUGAAAAUCCUGACUCCUUGAAUUUAAUCUUUUUCAGCAUUCAUAAAGUCUAUCACUAUAUUACAAUGGAGUUAGCACAUAGUUUCCUAAUGCUUAAAAUUCCAGUCUUAUUUUUGGCCACUGGUUUACUUCAUUUAAUGUAGGAAAUACUUUGACUUGAAGAGAAAUUUCCAUUUUUUAAGAAAAUAAAAGUGGAAUUUUCUAUUAGUACUAUAUUUUAAAAUAAUUUUGCCUGCCAAAAGCAUGCAUACUGAAUUUAUAAAGUUCUUUCAGAUGCAUAACUCUACACAUAUGCUAUCAACUAAAAAUCAAAUAUUGGCUGAAUAAAGGAAAGCUCUUUCUAAAUUUAUGGGAAUUCUAAUUAUAGUUCUCCAGUACAGGAAUAUCAUCAAGACACCAAUGCCUUCAUAUGAGCAACUUCUCAUGAAACAAAUGACUAAAGGUUGUAAACCCUUUCCAGUAAAAGAGCAGAUAUAUAUUCUGUGUGAUUUUUAUCUUUUUUAAAUUUAUUUUUUCUAACUCGUUAUACAUGACAACAAAAUGCAUUUUGAUUCUUAGUACACAAAUGGUGCACAAUUGCACAAUUUUUCAUUUCUCUGGUUGUACACAAAAUAGAAUCACACCAUUUGUGUAUUCAUACAUGUACCUAGGGUAAUGAUGUCCAUCUCAUUCUACCAUCUUUCCUACCCUUAUGCCUCCUCCCUUCCCUACCACUCCUUUGCCUUAUUCAAAGUUCUUCCAUUCCUCCCAUCCUGCCGCCUCCCCCCCCCACACACACACACACCACGCAUUAUGGAUCAGCAUCCACUUAUCAGAGAAAACAUUGGUUUUGUGGGCUUGGCUUCACUUAGCAUGAUAUUCUUCAACUCCAUCCAUUUACCUGCAAAUGCCAUGGUUUUAUUCUCUCUUAACACUGAGUAGUAUUCCAUUGUGUAUAUAUACCAACUUUCUUAAUCCAUUUAUCUAUUGAAGGGCAUCUAGGUUGGUUCCACAAUUUAGUUAUUGUGAAUUGUGCUGUUAUAAACAUUGAUGUGGCUACGUCACUGUAGUAUGUUGAUUUUCAGUCCUUUGGGUAUAAACCCAGGAGUGGGAUAGCUGGGUCAAAUGAUGGUUCCAUUCUAAGUUUUCUAAGGAAUCUCCAUACUGCUUCCCAGAUUGGUUGCAAUACUUUGCAGUCUCACCAGCAAUGUACGAGUGUGCUUUUUCCCCCACAUCCUUACCAACACUUAUUGUUACCUGUAUUCUUAAUAACUGGCUUUCUGACUGGAGUGAGAUGAAAUCUUAGUUUUGAUUUGCAUUUCACUAAUUGCUAGAGAUGUUGAAUAUUUUUCAUAUGUUUGUUAACUGACAGUAUAUCUUCUGAGAAAUGUCUGUUCAGUUUCUUAGCCCAUUUAUUGAUUGGGUUAUUUAUGUUUUUGGUGCUAAGUUUUUUGAGUUCUUUAUAUACCUGGAGAUUAGUGCUCUCUCUGAUGUGUGUGUGGUAAAAAUUUCCUCCUAUUCUGUAGGCUCUCUCUUUACCUCACUGAUUGUUUCUUUUGCUGACAAGAAGCUUUUUAGUUUGAAUCCAUCCCAUUUAUUGAUUCUUGAUUUUAUUUCUUGCACUUUAGGAGUCUUAUUCAGGAACUCAUGGCCUAAUCCAACAUGAUGAAGAUUUGGGCCUACUUUUUCUUCUUUGGGGCAUAGGGUUUCUGGUCUAAUUCCUAGGUCCUUUGUCCACUUUGAGUUGAAUUUUGUGCAUGGUGAGAAAUAGGGGCUUAAUUUCAUUUUGAUGCAUAUGAAUUUCCAGUUUUCCCAGCACCAUUUGUUGAAGAGGCUAUCUUUUCUCCAGUAUAUGUUUUUGGUGCCUUUGUCUAGUAUGAGAUAACUGUUUUUAUGUGGGUUUGUCUCUGUGUCCUCUAUCUGUACCAUUUGGUAUACCAAUCUAUUUUGGUGCCAAUACAAUGAUGUUUUUGUUACUAUUGCUCUGUAGUAUAGUUUAAGGUCUGGUAUUGUGAUGCCACCUGCUUCACUCACUAAGUAUUGCUUUGGCUAUUCUGGUCUCUUAUUUUUCCAGAUGAAUUACAUGAUAGCUUUUUCUAUGAGGAAUGUCAUUGGAAUUUUGAUUGAAAUUGCAUUAAAUCUGCAUAGUGUUUUUGGUACUAUGGUCAUUUUACAAUAUUAAUUCUGCCUAUCCAAGAACAAGGUAGAUCUUUCCAUCUUGUAAGGUUUUCUUUAAUUUCUUUCUGUAGCGUUCUAUAGUUUUCAUUAUAGAGUUCUUUCACCUCUUUCAUUAAGUUGAUUUCCAAGUUUUUUUUUUUUUGAGGCUAUUGUAAAUGGAGUAGUUUUCCUAAUUUCUCUUUAAAAAAAAUAGUGUACCACAAUUAAGUGAGGUUCAUCUGAGAGAUGCAAGGUUGGUUCGACAUAGAGAAAUCAUUAAAUGUAAUUCAUCAUCCCAUCAAUAGACUUAAGAUAAGAAUCAUAUCAUCAUAACAGAUGCAGAAAAAGCAUUUGACAAAAUACAGCACCCCUUCAUUUCAAAACACUAGAAAAACUAGGGAAAAUGGAAACAUCUCAACAUUGUAAAAGUUAUCUAUGCUAAGGCCAAGGCCAACAUCAUUCUAAAUGGAGAAAAAUUGAAAGCAUUCCCUCUAAAAACUGGAACACAACAGGAUUGCCGUCUUUCACCACUUACAUUUAACAUAGUUUUUGAAACUCUAGCCAGAGCAAUUAGAAAGACAAAAGAAAUUAAAGGGAUACAAAUAGGAAAAGAAGAACUCAAACUAUCACUUUUGGCUGACGACAUGGUUCUAUACUUAGAGGAUCUGAAAAAUUCCACCAGAAACCUUCUAGAACUAAUAAAUCAAUUCAGUAAAGUAGGAUAUAAAAUCAACACCCAUAAAUCAAAUGCAUUUCUGUACAUCAGUAUUGAAUCCUCUGAAAGAGAAAUUAGGAAAACUACUCUUUUUACAAUAGCCUCAAAAAAUGAUUUUUAUCUUUAAUCUCUGCAUAACAAAAAGUCUAUAGAGAAUUGACAAGUACAAACAUAGAUUUGGUUAUAACAUAAUAAAUUCUCUCUCUCUAAAAUCUUUAAAUUUGUCUUAUCUUUCUUCAGGUAUGCUCAUCUUUUGCUACAGGCCCCAGACAAAAUGAUGGAACAUUCUAUGAGUUUCAUACCUAUUCACUUAAACCCUCGAAGAUGAAUGAGUUCCUGGAAAACAUCAAGAAAAACAUGCAUCUUCGGACAGCUCACUCUGAAUUGGUUGGAUGUUGGAGUGUAGAAUUUGGAGGCAGAAUGAAUAAAGUGUUUCACAUUUGGAAGUAUGGUAGGAGUCAUUCCACUUAAGUGUUUGUUAUAGAUUUUCAUUCUGUUCCAUGUUUCAUGAAAUUUAGUUCUUAAAUCUAUAUUUAUAAACUAUAUUUAUAAAUCUAUAUAUUUAUAGAUACGUACAGGUUAAGUAAAAUCUUAAUUUAAAAAGGAAUACAGUACCAAAAAAGUAAAUUCAGUGAUUACUCUCACCAAUGGUCUACUUCUAACAAUUCCUUGCUCAAAGUCUUAUAUUACCAUAACUUGGAAAACAUUAAUUCUCAUAUAUGAAAUGAUAAAAUUAUAAACUAGCUUUAACACUCAGAAAAUUUAGAAUGGUUUAUUACAAAGAUGGUUGAUAAAAAUUUUAAGGUGGUGUUUGAAAAAGCCCAAACGUGUUAAGAUCACAAAAGGAAAGAGGAAGUCUAAUAAUUUAAAAAUUUAGGGCCAUUAAGUAAAUUGAGAUUUAGAGAGGAUCACAGAUUUUAAACUUCAUUCAACCAUGAGAUUUAAUAUUUCCGUUAUGUUUAGAAACCAAUUUUUUGUUUCAUUUCUUACACCCCAGAGUUUCAAGGAAUUUACUUUCAUACUACUCAAAAGGAAAAGGAAUCAGUUCUUCCCAUGUCACACUGACCUACCCCUGAGGAAGGAAAAGAAGUUUCAAGAGUCACCAGAAUGUUUGUUUCUCCACAAUCUAGUCUGUUAGGGUCAUAUCAGGACUUGUGGAUAUCCAAAGACCUGGUAAUAAUUUUAUUUACAAUUUGAUCAUCAGUGUCCAGAUUAAUAUUCAUAAAUGUUUUAUUAUGAAAAAUAUUCAUUCUACACCUAACUAUGGGCACAGUGUAGGGUUUUUACCUAGUGUAGUAAAACAAGCCCCAUUAAAACACAACUUGUGCUUUAGAUGUGCUACAAGUUAAAUCAUGGCCCACUAAGAAAACUAAUGAAGUCCUGAUAUACCUCACUUAAGCUGUGAGAUAGGUGUUAUUCAUUAUCACCAUCAUAAACCAUAUAAAACUUUUCUCAUUAGUCUUAUAAGGUCUUCAUAGUAAAUACAAUGCUAGGCCCAUAUAUGGGUAAAUGUCGAUACCUGUUGGAAUAACUCAGAAAAAAAAUAAGUGCUGGGGGGAAAAUGGCUGGUAAUAAGUAAGAGAAUCAACACUAUUUUUUGAAGGCUCUUUGUUCAAAGGAGAAGAGACUCACCAAAUACAUUUUAAUUUCAUUUAUUGUAAUUUGAUUCAAGGUUUAUCUUGACCUGGGCACCUGCCACCACCAAAGAAAGAUCUUUCUCUGAACUAGCACUAUCAGUUAAAUGCCUCAACUGAAUUAAUUAGUCCACAAAUGUUGAUACUAACUGGGUGCUAAACAUUGUUCUAGGCUCUUUUUGUGUGUUAAUUCAGUUAACCUUCACAACAAUGUUAUAUUCUCUCCAUUAUACAGACUGAAAAACAGAAUGCAGAAAGAUACAGUAACUUACCUAAUUCACACAAGUUUCUGCAAAGUCAUAGAACCCAUGAAGCCAAUUCUGUGACAUUUUGUAUUUCUAUUCCCCUUAAGCCCAAGAACAACUUGAGGACAGAUGUCACAUCUUUUCGUGAUGAUAUCUCCAAAGGCAUAACAAUGUUCCUCUAUGCUGCAGGUGAAUGUUGUUUGGAUGAAAUCCAGAGAAGCAUAGGUGAUUUUAAGUUGUAAAUGUUUCUUUUUCUUAAUUCUUUUCUCCCAUAGAGAAUUUUGCUCAUCGAACUGCAGUUCAGAAAGCCUUGGCUAAAGAUAAGGAAUGGCAAGAACAAUUCCUCAUUCCAAAUUUGGCUCUCAUUGAUAAGCAAGAGAGUGAGAUUACUUACCUGGUGCCAUGGUGCAAAUUAGAAAAGCCUCCAAAAGAGGGUAAGUCACUUUCCUUCUUCACCACUUAGAAUUUAGAUGAAUGAAAUACUAAAGAUCUUAAGUGAUAAAAGGUGAAGUUCCACUGGCAAACAAGGAAAUUAAUCCUUUGUUUUAUGGGAACAUACUGUGGUUGUUAAGAUAAAACGAAGUUGAAUCUUCCAGCUUAUGCUUAAAAUGAGAAUUAAAUAAUGAGGAAUUUUUCCAAAUUGAAAUUUUACACAUUGCUAAGUUUAGCUGUUACAGAAAAAGUCUACAUAGUCAGUUAAAGAUGAGAAAUUGCACAUUAGAAAUAGGGACCACAUGUGGGAAAAUAAAGAAUAAUUUUAAGGUAACAUAAAUAUUUAAAUAAGAAUAUUUUCCACAAAAUAUAAUUAAUCUUAAGUCAUUAGUACACCUUUGCUUAUAAAAUUAACUAUUUGAGGGGGGUGAAUUUACUGAAUCUACCAAGCUAUAUCACUAUAGUUUUUGUGUCUAACUUUUGUGUCUUCCUCUUUCUUCUCAGUUUGAAAAUAAUUCCUUAAGAUAUAUCUUCUUGCUGAUUUCACUUCUUGAUGAUUUAAAGAAACUAUUGCUUCAAUCCAGUAUUAAACCAAGGUCAGAAUAGAAAAAUCAAUUUAGAUUUAUUUUAUUUCCAACUCUGUUUUUAGACUACACUACAAAGAAACUUGACAAGAAUUAUUUAGAUCCUAGUUAGAUCUCUUUCUCUGUCAGCACUAUCUAGAUAAAAUAGUUGACUUCUCAGUGUCUAACGUUGAUCCUCUUCCUCUUUUUUAUUAACCUGAGUAAUCUUUGCAUGUUUUCCUGUACCUUUCAAAUCUACUUGUCUCUAGUUUCUUUCUACCAGUCCUUUAUUUCUGUCCAGAAGAUAAGAUACAUUUCAACUACAUACUUGGAUAUUUAGGGACAAUAAAAUCUCAUUAGGUUUGUUUGGGUUUUUUUCCUCCAAAACUUAGAGACAUUUCUUUAUUUUCAUUGUUUUCUAUGUUCUUCCUGUUAGAAAAAGAAACUUAAGGAGAGAGAAAUAUAAAUGGAAAAAAGUACAAAUUGGAAAGAAGAAUGAAAAUAUAGGAGACAUUGGAAAAUUAUUUUAUUCUUUUCUGAAAGUAUAGACUUGGCUCAAAAAUCCAAUUUCAUUAUAAAUUCUUAAUAUCUGUUUUAUUAAUAGAUUUUUAUAUUAAAAUAUUUCAGAUCAUAGUUUAUAUAUUUAUAACUCCAGACUUUUUAUCAUCUGCAUGAUAACCAAAGCAAAGAAAAAUAAUGCAAAUACAAUAAAUAUGUCUAUGUAACCAUAUAUGAUCCUCUAAAUCUGUAUUUGUAGAUUAGUUUUCCAUGGAAACAAGACAGACAUGAUUAGAAAAUGCUGGAAUGUCUUCUGUAAAAUAGUCCUUUUUCUUUCUAUUUUAGGAGUCUAUGAAUUGGCUUCUUUUCAGAUGAAACCUGGUGGCCCAGCUCUGUGGGGUGAUGCAUUUAAAAGGGCAGUUCAUGCCCAUGUAAAUCUAGGCUAUACAAAAUUAGUUGGUGUUUUCCAUGCAGAAUAUGGAGCACUCAACACAGGUAUAGUUAUCUGUUUCAUCUAUAAAAUUUCAGUGGUGAUCUACUAAUAAGUUCCUUGGAUACGUUUCUCUCUCUCAUACUGUACAUUUUAUUUUUUAUUGCCAAAUUUUUGUAUUUUUGUCAAUUUUAAGGGUUGAAAAAAACCUGUGUCACAUCUUUUUAUUUAGAAUGUUAACAUCUUUAUGAAGCCUUUUCAAACACAAAACUGCUAUUUUCCUGAUUAUCAAAAUGAUUAAAUUUUAAUAGGUGCCAGAAUCUCAAGAAAUAACCUAUUCCUUUUAAAUAUUUUUUCUUCUGAAUUUUUUUAUUGAUUUUUGAAACAACAUUUCUGGGGAGAUUGUUUCUGAGUAAAAACAUAAUUUAUUUAUUCAUUCAUGUAUUAAUUAAUUUAUUUAUACUAAAGUCGCCCCAUAAAAAUUCACCCAUUUUUAUUUGAGGCAUGUAUUUAUAUACAUGUAUGUACAUAUCCAUUGGUAAAUUUGUAAAUAUAAAUUUCUUUAAUAAAAUACGUAUUUGGAGUAUUUAACUUUUAAAUGUAUUUUUUUGUGUGCAUAGCCCUGGUGAUUGAACUCAGGACGAUGCACAUGCUAGGCAAUGCUCUACCACUGGACUAUAUCCCCAGCCCAGAGUAUUUUAACUUUUAAAUUUGAAAGAUAUUACCAUCAGAAUUUCAAGAUUUUUUUUGACAAAUUCUGAAAAUACUUGUAAAGCUUAUCUGAAAGGACAGAUGACAAAGAAUAGCUAGUAAAUAUUUGAAAGACUGAUAAUACGCAGUUACCUUUUAUCUUCUCUAUUUUAUGUACAAUGGAAAUCUGAAACCUAAUAUAGUCAGUGCUGAGCUUCCAACUCAACACAGAAAAUUCAUCUCUUUUCUGAAAUGCAUGGACCAGAAGUAUGUCAGAUUUUUGAUUUUUGGAUUAGGGAUAUUCAGCCUGUUUAUCAUAAGAAAAUGGUCAUAAUAUACAAAAACAGAUGUAUAUUUACGUUGGAAAAUAAUGGAGGAGAAAAAUUAUUAUAAAAAUUAUCUCAUACUAUAUGCUAAAAUAAAACCAAGACUUUAAUAGAUUUCAAUGAGAAAAUUUAAUUCAUAGAGUUGCUAAAACUUUAUGUAGAUGAACUUACUUAAAAAUAUGAAUGGGGACUAUAUUCCUAAGCUAAAAAUAGAAACAAAAAUGAAGAAAAAAUUUGAUGACUUUAUUAUAAAAAGGCUCAAACUCUCUAUAUGUGGAACAAAUCAUCAUAAGUUAAAUUCAAAAGCAAAAAGGAAAUGAAAAUUUAUGUAAAGGUAGUAACACAUAUGACUGUCAAAUAUAAAAGAAGAGGCAGAUUAAAAAUAGUAAGCAGAUAUCACUUUUUACUUAAUGUAGACUUGCUUACAUGGGUAUAAUGUUAGAUCAGGAGUAAAUAAGUACUCAUAUAAUAUAUACGGUUCACAUUAAUCUUUCCUUCCCAAAUUGGGCCAUAUAAAUAAAAAAUUAUUUUCAUUGUCUUUGGCAGUAUUCUAGAAAAUAUGCAGGAGUGCAUAUAUUUAUAAGGGCUUUCAGUUAUAUACGAAAGAAAUUUGAAAGUAUGUAAAGUAGUCAUAUUUGAGUGAUGAGAUUAAAGAUUACUGAAAGUCUGUCUUUUAAUCUCUGAUAUUGUGUAUGUAUGAUUUUUAUAACUUUUUUAUUCUUAAAUUCAUUUUCAGUAUCCUAAGAAAAUGUGGCAUGAUGAGUAUAAAUCAGUACAGCUUCUUUUUAUAUUUAUCUUCCAUUUUAGGAAGAUAGUGUAUAAUACAUACAAUAUAUAGACAGUAUAAUAUAUACACUAUUUGAAAAUUUAAAAUAUAUAUGUAUAUAAGAUAUACUCCUUGGAUCUCUCACUUUACAUUUUAGGAGAUUUUGUUAAGGAAAUAAACAGAUACAAACAGCCUGGAUUUAAUCCCAGCACCAUUGCUUAGUAAUUUUAUGACCUUGGGUAAGUUAACCUCACUGGGCCUUAGUUUCCUCAUCUAUACAAUGAUGAUAGUAAUAACCUACCAUCUAGAUUAUUAUGAGGACUAAAUGAGUUAACACAUGAAAAAUGUUUAAAAUCAAGCAAGGUAUUACACAUGUGAAAUCCUAGCUAUCAGGAGACUGAGGCAGGAGGAUUACAACUUCAAGGCCAGUCUGGGCAACUUAGCAAGAUUCUAUCUAAAAAUAAAAAUAAAAAGCACUACAAAUAUAAUUCAGUGGUAGAACACAUGCUUAGCAUGCCCAAGGCCUGACAGGUUCCAUCACUAGAGACAAACACAUUCCAGGCAAUUAAAUGUUAGCAAUAGUAGUCACCAUCAUCAUUAUUAUAGAUACAUACAUAGGUGUGUUCAAAUGAAAUUUAUGUAAAUAUUGUUUAUAUAAUAAAUAAUGUGGUAUGACCUUCUUUAUGUAAUAUAUUUUGUGAUAUAGAAAUAUGCUAUAUAUAUUUGUAGUAUAAAAUGUAUGCAUAGAUAUAAAUAUAUGUAUAGAUAUGUCUGUAAAUAUUCAUAUAUUUCAUAUACAUAACAACGUAUAUAUAAUAUGUAUUAGUAUGGAAAGACAUAAACCAAAUAUAAAACUAGUUAUUUCUGGGAAGUCCAGAAAUGAUUCCUAGCUUCUCUUUGUGUUUAUCUGUAUUUUUCUAUACCUCUACUUUGUAUUACAUUGCAAUUAUAAAAAAAUGUAUAAAUAAUUAUAUACAAGAAUAUUUAUUCCAGAAUUUUAUAGAAUAGUGAAAUAUUGGAAAUAAUCUAAAUGGCCAACAAUAAAGAUUAGUAUAAAAAGUUGCUGUGUAUUAUGAAGGAAUCCAUAUCAUCAUUAAAAAAUAAUAUUAUUGCCACAGAAGAUAAUCACUGUUAAUUUUAAAGAAUCUAUUAGUAAGCAUAAUAUACAAUAGACCCUAAGUUAACUUUUAAAGGAAAUGCCCUAGGGGUUUUCUCUAGGUAGUUAACAUUAUGCUAUUUUUUGUUUUCCUGUUUGUUUCAUAUAAAUUUUCUAUAAUAAACACAAUUUUUAUAACCUUGGUUUUUUGCAAUAAAGUCAACUGUAGUGGGAAGUCAUGAAAUUUGAGUGUGUCUUUAACUGUCUUACCUUACUUUCCUUUUCCAGCUUUCUGUUUUUACACCUAAAAAAAGAGAGAGAGAGAGAGUUUGAUUAAUUCAUGUAUAAAUUUCUUUCUCAAGUCUCUGAUUCCUCUGAAAUCUUAUCAUCUAAAUAUUUAUUUACUGACAUUUUAAUUUAAAAUAAUAGGAUUUUUUUACUCACUCUCACUUUAAGAAUUAUUCUUUUGCCCAUGGCAAUGUCAAUGUCAUACUCUUUAGAAACAAUUUUGGUUUAUUUCUGCAGUUCAUGUUCUUUGGUGGAAUGAGAGUGCAGAUAGUCGUGCAGCUGGGAGGCAUCAUUCCCAUGAGGAUCCCAGAGUCGUGGCAGCUGGUAAGCUAUUUCACUAGGCAUGGGUUAUUUUUACAAUAAACUUGAUUUGCUCAAUAACUUUAUAUGCCUUCUUAUGAAAUGUUUUUCCAGUUCGGGAAAGUGUCAACUACCUAGUGUCUCAGCAGAAUAUGCUUCUGAUUCCUGCAUCAUUUUCACCAUUGAAAUAGUGUUCUACUGAAACACAAAAGAUUUCAUUAAUUGGUAUAAAAUGUGUCUGCUAAUGGUGUUUAAGUUCUCCCAAGAGAAUUAUUCUCACUUUUAUUUUAAGGAGGUGAUAAAUUAAUUUACUAUGUCCCUUGCAUUUUAUAAAGCUCUCCCUUGUUUGUCACCACCACUUUAGGAAGUAAAAAGUUCAUUUUUCCCAAGGCAUUUCAAUAUCUAUCACACAUUAAAAAUAUCUACCAUUUGGAAAAUAAUGUUAUUCAGUCCUGAGAUUAAAAAUCUUUGAGGACUCUUUGGUUUACAUGCUGAAAUGCCUUCAUUUAUAAUUAAUUGUACUAAUAUUUACUUCAUUUUGCAUUCUACUUAACAAAGAUACUUGCCACUAUUUCAAGAUCUUGAUUUUUCAUUCAUUUCAGAGGAUGUCUUCUGUAUGUUGACAAACCUUUAUUCAAAUACUAAUGUUAUAUUUCCAUGAUUGAAACAAUAGUUUUAAAUUAUUAAUAUACAUUGUCAAACUUUUAAUCGUGUCUGUUUUCCUGAUUUUCCAAAUUUUUGUCAAGUAAAGUUUAUUUUGUAAUAUCAAAUGGUAUUCAUGAGAAUAUUAAACAUAUUUAUUUGCCAUGGAAAAGUACAUUAUCAUUUGUGUCAUCUGUGUUAAUUAUGGUCACACAUUAGCUCUAUUGUCACUGAACUGGAAAAUAAAAUUAUUAGGUCCUGGUAUUUAAAGUCUUUGAAGACUCUUUGGUUUGUAUGCUGAAAUGUCUUCAUUUAUAAUUAAUUUUACAAAUAUUUACUUUAUUUUGGAUCCUACUUAACAUAAGAUGCUUGAGAUAUCUUUGUUUGAAUGUGAUCUUCAUGGAUAUGGAAAUGUUUGACCUAAUAAAAGCCUACCUGUAUAUUCUGAUUA
rnacentral:lncRNA from 1 species